rnacentral:rRNA from 1 species
AGCCAUAUCAAUCUGUAACUCACAUCUGCCAACCCAAUGAAGCUAAACAGGUGUGAGCCUGGUCAGUACCUGGAUGGAAGACCUCCUGGGAAAAACUAAGGUUGCU